rfam:Triticum aestivum genome assembly, contig: Triticum_aestivum_CS42_TGACv1_scaffold_213085_3AS
GAAGUACUCCCUCCGUUUCGAAUUACUUGUCUUGAAUUUGUCUAGAUACGGAUGUAUCUAGACUCAUUUUAGUGCUAAAUACCUCCGUAUGUAGACAAAUCCAAAACAAGUAAUUCGGAACAGAGGAAGUAAGCA